CGGGCGGAGGCGAUCGCCGGCAAACGAUAAGGUUUGCGGGAGGAAAGUCCGGACUGGGCAGGGCACGGUGGUUGGUAACGCCAACCCGGCGCAAGCCGAGGGAAAGUGCCACAGAAACGACACCGCCGGGAAAACGUCAAAACGCCCAAAAAGUCGAAACGGCGAAAGACCGUGUUUUGGCUUUUCGACGUUUCGAUGUUUCGACGUUUUCAUCGGUAAGGGUGAAAUGGUGCGGUAAGAGCGCACCGCGCGGCCGGUGACGGUCGCGGCAGGGUAAACCCCACCGCCAGCAAGCCCAAAUAGGCAGCGAGAGGCGGCCCGUCUCGGAGAAUGCAGAAUGGCGAAUUCAGAAUAGCGGAUUCUUCAUUCGCUAUUCGCCAUUCUAAAUUCUGCAUUCUGAAGCUGUGGGUAGGGCGCUCGAGCCGGCGGGCAACCGUCGGCCCAGAUGAAUGAUCGCCGCCCGCUCGGCCAACGCCAAGCGGGAACAGAAUUCGGCUUACAGACCCGCCGGUCCG
rnacentral:RNase_P_RNA from 1 species